UGAAAUAUAUGCAUAAAAAUCUUUAUGAAAAGAAAGCUUUGGUUGUUUAGUUAUCCAAAUUUAAAAGCUAUUGAUGAGAAUGAAGGAUUUGUCUGCUGUAUUUGAUGGAUAUUAGUUUAUUAAGUAUUGUUUAAUUUUUAAAAAGUUUUCAGUCUUUUAUACUGGAGGAACUAAGUUUGAGUUUGUAUGAGAUUUGUCUGGCUUCAAAAGAAAUAUCUUGCUUCAAAGUAACAUGGAACAAAUGCCAUGCUGCUGUAAGUGUGAUAUGUGCUCUCCUGCUGAUUUCUUACAUUUUAAGAAUAUAACACAGUUUCCUCCCCUACCAUACAUUCCUGGAAUGUACACCUUUUAGCUACAAUGUUGUGAGGUGGGCUGCACUACUUACCUUUUUCGUAGAACCUGUGUAAAUUAAUAUCUGAAGUUGAUUUGAAACACAGGAAAUGGUGACUAUGACAUAAUUCACCCCGAACUGUUCAGAAGUAACACACCAACCUACGUCUGAACUAAGGCACUAUGCUUAGUUUUUGCAAUUUUUGGAAGAAAAAGGCAUUACAUUACAAUAGAUUUCUGGUACAGGGUAUAUACAGAGGUCCUCUGCUGGUUGGAUUUGACCAGGGAUGAAUCCUGUCAUAUAUUUAUAUCAUAAUAAAGGCCAAUGUUUAACAUAGGAAAAGUAAAGCUAGACACAAAAAUGAUCAUUAUUAGCAUACAUUUUGUUAUGGAGUUAAAUGGAAAUAAUCACAUCCGAUGAAAUCCAAACAUUCAGUGAUUUACAUAUCAGUUGGUUGAAAUUUGGAAACUUAACCUCCCCCAGGACCUUGAAAUGUUAUCAGUUAAAGGGAGUGGGGUUGAGUAGCUCUCCCUCUAUAGCAUCCUUGCCUUGAUCACAAAAAUAGAGGAAUAGAUGUCGAGGCAACAUAACGUGUGGCUGCUCGAGCAGAACACUUUACAGUGCAUCUCAAAAUGUGUCAUACGGUGAAUCUUGCUUGCUUGCCUACUUGAGUGGUUUCUCACAACUGCUGACUGAUCUUAAAAUGAUUUAUCUACCAUUUCCCUUUAUCAACCUUUGAUAACCAUUUUUUUGCUGCAUACUGAUCAUUCCUCUCCCAAACUGUCUUGUCUAUUGAUUAAAAAAUGGCCAAUGGCAAAUUUGACAUUUCAUAGUCAAACUAUGAAGGAACUUUCUUGACUUAUGUCACAUGUUAGGCCUAAAUAUAGGCCUGUACUUAAUAAAAUUCUGCAAAAGAGGGUCAUUAAUCCACCAGUGUUUUUAAAUGUCUGCAUAAUUAAUUGUAAGGAAAAUGUAUUUUUUGGUGUUUAAAUUGGUGCAUAAUCCUUAUUGUGGUGUUACCACUCAGGACCAUUUUAACUUGAACUCUGCCUUUGGGCCCUGGAUGUUUGAUACAGUCGGUGACUUGUUUUAACCUAUGACAGUUGUGAAGGCUGACCCUGUGAGCUCACCUUUGGAUGAAAAUCUUUUUUUUCUCCUCCAAAUACUCCCGAAUAAUGAGCUGUGGUUACUAAAUAUUUUGCUGCUGCUUUUUUAAAAAAUUUUUUUAUUAUUAUUUCCUUUUUUGUGUGUGACACACCUUCUCUGAAAUGUAUUGCGUGGUUAUCAUGAUUGGCCUUUAAUUUGUUAAAUAUAUACACAAUUAACUAAAGGCCAUGUUUUGUAAGCAGUAUUAUUUUUUUUGAGCUUUCUCUGUGUUGAAGUUUCAAAUUUCUGUGGGACAAACAGAAGUGGAACAAAAAUUCAGAAAAAGUGAAUAAAGUGGAGCAAAUUUCUGAUUCAAAUAUCACCACUGUAUCCUAACUAGAGCUUUCGUGAUUACUCGAUUUAACUCGAUUACGUGAUUAUUAAAAAGCCUUGAUUAAAAUUUUCCUUCUCGAUUACUCUGCAAUAUGGUGGAAGGAAGAUGAUGCAUAGAGAUGAGGAUCCAAAUAAUGACCGAAAGCAUCAUUUAUGUAGAAGCAUUUUACAUUAAAAGUGAAUGAAAAUGCAGUCAUCUGUCAGUAUUUCAAAGCAGAACUUAAAUAUCACCACAGCAUGACUGCGAUGCAAAUACACAGUAAAAGAAGACCUAAAUGUUUGAGGGACAUUCAAUAAUGCAAGGUUAGAUAUGAGAUAUCUUACAUUUCGCCUCUCAGAGUAGCCUAGCAUGCCUUUAUCACCACUUCGACUGAAAUUAUUUUGUUUAAUUUACUUUUUACAAAUCCCGUAUGUCAAAAUAGUCGCUGCUUAAACAAAGGUUAGACCCUUCUAGCUGCAUCAUUUUACAUAGUAUGGUACAUAUAACCAAUUAGAAUUAUUUUUUGUGAACACAUUGUGUGUUAGGGCUGAACAAAACUGGAAAAAGUUCACAUUGCUAUAUUUCUAGUGUUUGCGAUAUUUAGCAGUUGAAAAUUUGAAAAGUCUGUCAUAAGUUGGUGGUGCCGUGCUUUGUGCUAGCAGAUAUAAAGCAGUGCUGACAAAACUUACUUCUGCUCAAUAUUGUUUGUAUGGAAUACAAAAUAUUUCCAUAUAGUGGAAAGACUUUUUUUAUGACCAGUUCGUUUUCGCCUUUUGACUUGUUUAAUUUCUCAAAUGUGCCACAAGAUCUAUGAGUAAGUUCAACAGCAAGAAUGGGAAUGAUAAUGAUUGUCUUGGGGAGCUCAUGCAGAGUUCAUUCAAAAGCAGUGGUGGUAAACUUCUUUAUUUAUUAAUUUUUAAAGCAUACCCUGGAUAAUGUUGAAAAGGAACCAUCAUUAAAAUUGCAAAGCUUGCUAAGUUAUGUUUCAUCAGACUGAGUAAAAAUAUUUCAGCACAUUUUAUUGAUGAUGUGAACCCAGCAGACUCUUGUGGUCCUUGCCAUGUGACAGUUGCAUGUGCAUGGAAUGCCAUGUCGAUAUUAACAUUGCACCAUGUGCAUGUCUAUAAAAUGAGGACAGUAUAGUGGCGCAGUGGGUAGCACUGUCGCCACACACCGCCAUGUUGUGUGUGUGUGUGUGGAGUUUGUAUGUUCACUCUGUAUGCGUGACUUUUCAGUGGAUCCUCUGGUUUUCCUCCACUGUCCAAAAACAUGCAGCUAAAAUGAUUUGGAGUGCCUAAACUGCUGGUAUGUAUGACUGAGUGUGCACUGUGCAAUGGAUGAUUUGUCCCUGCCUUGUGCUAGCCUAAUUAUAUUAUAAUUUAGUUAUAGUAUAUUAUGAUAUAUAAACAACUACUUGAUGAAUCCUCAGAUUAAUCUGUAGCUUACUCAGUUAUUGAUAAAUUUGAUAAUGACAGCUCUACACCUAAACCUUAUUUUAAGAUCUGUCUAUUUCAGACUUCUCCUUGAGUAUUUGUCAUAAAAUACUGAAUUACAGUAGCUUUACUAGAGGUGGAAUAUGAUGAAGGAUACCCCACUAUGAAGUAUCAUUGUGCAAAAUAAAUAAAGCAAAGCUAUUAACUUUGUUUUAUAAUGAUCGUUAUACAGACAUUUUACCUGAGUGGUUUAGUGUUUUUAAAUUCUAUAUUUUUAAAACAUUUAGUUUGAUCCAAAGAAGUCUACAAUAAGUGGUGUAGUUUAUGGUAAUUAUUUUGUGAUGGAAUUGUUGGUGCUUGUUGAAGUGAGGAAAAAAAUUAUUUUAAAUCAGCAAAAUAUUUUGAAUUCUGGAACCUUUGGUCUGACAAUGAAAGAUUUUUUUAUUAUUAAAAAAUCUUUAAAUGUUUAAAAUGCUUAUCUAGAUAAUAGCUACACGUCAGUGCUUUAUCCCACCUUGGCAUAAUAACAAAACUAAUUAAUUUGGCUUGUUUUUGUGCUGGGACUGGGUAAUGAUUUUAAGAAGCAACAGUCAAUAUAUUUCAAAGACCUGUUGCUGGGUUUUAAAGAGUUUUCUUUAAAUAUUCACAGUAGUCAUGAAUGGCUGUUGACAAUGUUGGAGUAGCUUCAUAUAGUAGUUUACUUAUGUGAUGCUUUUGAGAAGCUCUCUCUGAUUUUUACUUGUAAUGUUAACUUCCUUUUUUUAUUACUGUUCUGAUUGAAUGCUUUUGUGGCAAUUGUCAUAGUUGGGCCUGUAUAAUACCUAAAUAAAACUUCAUUUUUGCUCUCAAACUGACCUGACUUGACCUGUCUCAAACCAUCAGGUUUAUUGCAGGUUUAUUUUCAUAGUACCAGUGUUCAUUUAAUAAACAAUCAGGUCUGACAUGCAUUUUUAAAAAUUAAUUGUAGUGAUUUCCCAUCUGUUUCAUAAAAAUUUUAACCUGAUGGUAGAUUGCAGCACAUUAAUUUAUUUAGUAGUAGUUUUUUGUUCAAAGUGAUGUGCAAGUUACUACACACAUUUUGUACAUCCAAACUGUUUAAAAAUAUUGAGGUUGCUAUAUAAUGUUGUGCAUGGUUUUUCUGACCAUGAAUACACAUUACCAGCAAAUCACUGUUAAAAUGCUGUUAUUAAUGCAUGUAUUUUUUUUUCUGGACUAUGAAAUCUAUGCACCUAACACACCUCCACCAGGUACUUGGUGUUCCUACUUGUUUGAUUGUUUGGUUCAGGUGUGCUUGGAGGGUGCAAAAAUGUAGGCUGCUGGAGGCCCCCGCAGACUGGGUUGAUAAUCAGUGUUGUACACUCUUUUUAAGGAUUUCCGUAAAAGUCUUAUUUCCAGAGUAACACAAUUAGAUCUAGUUGAGUCCCGAUGCUUGUAUUAUUGUAUUUUAAAUGUCAAUUAUAUGGCUAAGCUUUUACAGAACUUACACUACUAUGCUAAAAAUAUUUAUUCCUAGUGAUUUUUAAUGUUGAGGACCUUCACAUCAGUGCAUUGCUUAUGCAUAAUUCCUACUUUUUUAUGCAUAGAUACAGACUGUACUGAAUUACGACUCGGUUCUGUUCUGAUUUUAUGUCGAAAUUGACGUAUGUUGCAAUAGGGCAAUCGCACUGACUUUUGAGCAUUAAACAGAGAUGUGCGUGAGGUGGGGAUGAUCUCAUUGCCGUACAGUACUUUUCUGCGGCACCUAUCAUAUGGCACGCAGCAUGCAGUAGGUAGAGUAGUAUUGCUAGUUGUACAACCUCCAACUUUUUUGCAUAAAUUUGUUCAACUUUAUUUAUUUGGUUGGUUGGUUGCUUGAUGGCUUAUUAAUUAAUUUAAAAACCUGUACGUGUGUAUCAUUGUAAGUCGCAUAGGUUGUGAGUUAGGGACAGUCUGUAGGAGUAAUAAGAGUAAUCCUGCUUUGCCCUUCAUUCUUAUGUACUCUGCCAAUAUGUCGUCAGUGAGGAUUAAAUGGGUAUCACUGCAUGUAAAAUCUGUUUUCAUUUGUCAGUUAUAUUUUCUCAGGCACUGAUUGGUCACAAUAUAUUAAGUUCAAACAUCCAAAAUGUCUUCAUUAUCAGUCCUGUAGCUAGAAAUAUGGGAAUAUGGAAUUAUUCUAUCAAGAUGCACUCCCAUCCAUCCAUCCAUUCAGUUUCUGAAACGGCUUGUCCUAUUCGGGGUUGCAGAGGCUACGGGCACAAGGCAGGGAACAACCCAGGAUGGGGCGCCAACCCAUCACAGGGCACACUCACACACCAUUCCAAGAUACUUUAAAGGUGACACACCAAACAUUUUAAAGCUAUGUGGCCUUAUACCUUCUCUACCUGAUAUUUAUUCCUUUUUUAUCACCAUAUUGCCGGCAUAACAUUCUUAUUAUGAAGAUACUCACCAGGCAGAUAUGGCAGUGUACUUCACACUCUACAGGUUAUGUCAUGCAGGGCAGAAGUUGCUGAUGCCCAGUGGAGCAGCAUAGUUGACUACUGCCAACCAGCAGGUGCCUUAUGAGUCUGUAGAAAGCACUUGUGCAGUGACCAGCUGAGAGAUACUGGAAGGGUGAACUAACCGUCCCAUGUGUAAUGAUGACACAUGAAAACUUCUGGCUAACGGAGCACAAGCAAGAUGUGUGGCCUGUAGAAGUCACUAUUUAUUGAGGCUGACACUUGGCACUCAUUUUGGUGUGUACUGUGAAAGCCGCUCUUUAUAAGCCGAUACUUUCAUUACAUGUUUAGGCCUUUAAAGGUAAAUGAUAAAUUUACCAUACAUGCAGUGACGCAUGGGAGAAUAGUGCCUAUGAAUUAAGCCACAUCCUUUCCACGAAAUAAUCCGGGUUGUAAAGCUUUCUGCUGCGUAAAGGGUUUUCAGUUUUCUUUUUUGAUGUUCUUUUUGUGCAUGCCUGUAUAGCGGUAUAUGGUGUUUCGUAACCACAUUUAGGUUUGUAUGUGCUUAGUGCUUUGUGUAGAUGGGCAUACAAGACCACUGAAUAAAGUUUUGUUAACUUGUUUUGUGUUCUUAUUUCUGUAACUCAAGGGAAUGUAAUUAAUUGAAUCCAAAUUCAUUAAUUACAUUACAUUAAUGACAUGAGAACUUUCCUGCAUUGGUUGUCUGUUAGUUGUUUUUCAGUAAAGGUUUGACAACAGUGGUCACAAUUUCUUUGUGAAAAACAAAAUCUUUUCCUUCUGUUGCUACUGCUGAGUUUUUUGCCAUAAUCUGCACUCUUUUCCAAAAAUUUUAAGAGAAUUAGGACAAUAUAUGCUAUUAUGGAGGGGUACAAAGGGAUCUGUUCACCUAGUGCAAAUGUCACAAAAUGAGGUUGAACAGUUGACCAUAUUAAUUUAAAUGACAAUUUGGAAAAUGUGAUGGAUGAAGAUUUGAAACCAGAAAUAUGUUGGCAUUUAGCAGAUUCUGGUAUAAUCACAAGCGAAAUCUCUCUUGAAUAUGCAACCAGAUCAAUUUGUUUUUGUACAACAAAGGUCAGUUCUCUGUUCCAUGUGAUUAUGGGCAGUGUAACAUGCAGUGGAUAACAAUGGACUCUAAGCAAACAGGCUAUGAUUAAACAUAAGGAAUAAAGCAAGUUUCAACAUUUUAUUAAGCUAUGGUGAACACUUGUGAUUUUGUGUAUGUAAUAAAGAUGGCUUUUAAUUUAAUUUGCAAAGUAUGUUUUUUGAAAUAUUUCAAAUGUUAUUAGUUACUUAUCACUAGGUUGGUUUCCUGGUGAUAUUGAUAUUAUGUCAUUAUUCAUGAACGUUUCUCCAUUGACAUUAUUUUAAAAUAUAAAUUAGAAUUUGAUUUGUUACAUUAGUUCAUACUUGCUCACUUGAAGACGAUUGUUAUAAAUUAAUUUUAUAAUUCGCUAUAAAAUUAUAUUGCUGUUUCAUGCAUUUUUAUGAUUUCCUUUUUCUUUUAUUGUGUUUUGUUAAUUCUGGUGAAAAGUGAGCAUUUGCCACUAAUUUUCUAUGAAUGACUGACAAGUCUUUUUAAGGAUGUCAUUACAGACCUCUGGCAGUUGCCUUACAGAAACUGAAUUUAAAUGUUCAGUUAAUUUUGCCAUUAGCAAUGGCAUAUUACAGAUACAAAGGAAUGAAUUAAAAGCAAUGUUUAUGAGAGCUGACUUGAAUUUUUUUAAAUAGAUGUUUAUGUUCCUCAUUGAUUCUUCUGCAGAAUCCUUUAUAGUUUUGUUAUAUGCAUAAUAAGUAUUGAUUUGCUUUAGAUACUCAUUGCAUUUUUUUUGUUUUAAAGAAAUUCUAAUUGAUCAUGAGAAAACAAUACCAUUUGUGGUUGUAAAUAUUGCUUCCAUUAACUUCCAUGGAAAUUUAGUGCUUUGUUGUUAUUAGGCAUCCAUGUACUCCUGUGUGUAUGUGUGUUUGUGUAACUAUCUUUUGGUGAGGUUUACGACAGUUGAAUCAUUACCCAGUAAACCAUUAUAUAUUUUAUUAAUCUCACGUUACCCCUACAGCUCCUAUGAAGGCAACCAUGUUAUCAUCAAUAGUUGUGCUAUGCUGAAUCACAGUAUCUUCAAACCAUGGGGAAAAAUUGCAACCAUUAAAUAUAAAAGAGGGGUCUAAAGCCCAUAUCCCUGUACUGGUACAGUUACACGUAUCAUUACCUGUUCUAUUAUACCUGUGCCUUUUCCAAAACUAAUUGUAUAAAUUCAGGAUAAAGAUUUAUUGAUGGAUGUAUUUGGGGGGAAAAUGAACUUAAACUGAUUACAGUAAUUAUUAAGAGUAUGAUGUUAAGCCAGUUGUGACCACUGGUGUUAGGCCUUCACUUUCUGAUGGGUGUGGGUUUGUGCAAGCAGUUUUAUUUGUUUUAGCCUUUUUUACACUUAGGUUUUUUUAAGCAUUUAUACAUUUUUUUAAACCUUACUGGUUACAAGAGAAAAUCAUCUGCGAUGUUCUGCUGCCUGUCUAAUGGUUAGUGAAUGUCUGAUAAAACCAUGAAAUGUAGAUAUCAUGAAAUGUAGAUAUCAAUUGAUCUUAUCAUAUAAGAUCAAUUGAACUUGCACACGUAGGAUGUCUUUCAAAGGAUUCAAGGCCUCAUAGGAACUGUUGCAUAACUAAUAUGGAUAUCAUUACGAAAAAUGAUUCCCUGCAUACUCCUCCUUUUUUUUAAUUUUUUUAAAACGUCCACUUGUCCUUUUGUGAAAACUUAAAAUAGACAUUUUAAUGGAUGGUUGUAAAGGCAGGUGGCGAUAAUAAAAUUUAUUUCAUUGUU